GUCCUUGGGCUAAGGGCGGUUUCAGUGUAGUUGACGCUCUGCGGAUACCUGAUAAUUGCUAAUUGAAAACUUUCAGUCCAAUCAACGCAACUCUUUGAGUUCAAUAUUUAAAACCUUAGGGUUUGCAAUCUUUUUGCACCAGUGAGC